ensembl:miRNA
UAGGUAGUUUCAUGUUGUUGGGAUUGACUUCCUGGCUCGGCAACAAGAAACUGCCUUGA